rnacentral:misc_RNA from 1 species
UUUCCGUAGGUGAACCUGCGGAAGGAUCAUUAAUGUGUUUGGGCCUCACGGCUCUUCAUUCCGACGCUGUGCGCCUUCGGGCUGCACGCUGAGGGAGCAUAUAUCCACCCCUGUGCACACACACGGUGGCGAGCUGGGUAACGGCUCGCCGCUGAUCUUUACACACGUCUAAAAGUCAUUGUAUGUUUUUUUGAGAUAAAAACACAACUUUCAGCAACGGAUCUCUUGGCUCUC